ACGCACUCUCGUUUAGAUUGAAGGAGCUUGCUCCUGAUUGAUAAACAUUUGAGUGAGUGGCGGACGGGUGAGUAACACGUGGGUAACCUGCCCUAAAGUGGGGGAUAACAUUUGGAAACAGAUGCUAAUACCGCAUAAAACCUAACACCGCAUGGUGUAGGGUUGAAAGAUGGUUUCGGCUAUCACUUUAGGAUGGACCCGCGGUGCAUUAGUUAGUUGGUGAGGUAAAGGCUCACCAAGACCGUGAUGCAUAGCCGACCUGAGAGGGUAAUCGGCCACACUGGGACUGAGACACGGCCCAGACUCCUACGGGAGGCAGCAGUAGGGAAUCUUCCACAAUGGACGAAAGUCUGAUGGAGCAACGCCGCGUGAGUGAAGAAGGUUUUCGGAUCGUAAAACUCUGUUGUUGGAGAAGAAUGUAUCUGAUAGUAACUGAUCAGGUAGUGACGGUAUCCAACCAGAAAGCCACGGCUAACUACGUGCCAGCAGCCGCGGUAAUACGUAGGUGGCAAGCGUUGUCCGGAUUUAUUGGGCGUAAAGCGAGCGCAGGCGGUUUCUUAAGUCUGAUGUGAAAGCCUUCGGCUCAACCGAAGAAGUGCAU
rnacentral:rRNA from 1 species